CAUAUAAAUAACUGAAUGGGAUCAGUUUAGUGAAGUGUAUCAUUUCUUUUCUCUUUGAUCAACAAAUCCCCUUUCUUGCUAAGUAAUUUUCUAUCCAGAGAGAGACCUAACUAGCAAUGUCAAGUGAAGCUGAUGACGAAGCUAGCACGCCGGAGAAGAUGGAUAAGGGAAAGGGUAUUCUUGACGAAAUCCCCGAACAGACUGAAAUUGCAACUGAUGAUGAAACUAAUGAUGAAACUGUUGAAGAAGCUAGCACCUCGAUCAAGGUGAAUAUGGAAAGGAGUAAACUUAACGAAAUAUGUGCCGCUGUUAACACAAUCCCGACACAGACUGAACUUGAAGCUGAGGAGAUAAUUAGCAACUUGCUGAUGAUGGAUACGGGAGAUGGAAGACUGAUAGCAGAUCUCGAUAGAAAGAAUCAUUACUUAGUUAAGGACAUGAAAAAGGUUGAUAAAGAAGGGAAGUCACCAUCACUGAGUGAUGUAUUCCUCUGGCUUACCCGUAUCCUCUUUAGUCAAAUAAUUGAUGUUUACGUUAAAGAUGGUUCUGUAUACUCUGGACUCUUCUACUCUAUUCUUGAGAAUGGUACUAUUUUGAGGAAAGCAAAGAUAACAGAGAAGGGAACGGGCCAUAGCAAUGUUGAAGAUAAGGUAGUGGAUACACUAAACGUUUCAUCAGAGAAUCUUGAGAAAAUUGUUUCUAAGAGAGUAACGAUUACCGUGGAUGAUGGUGUUGAUUGGAAUAUAACUGUUGCACAAGGUGAUUCUUCCGAUGGGGUGCAGAAGAAUGAACAAGAGGAGCAGUCGCCACCAGACUCUAGUGGUCAGGAGGAUGAACAAGAGGAAGAGAAUCUCCCAUAUCCUCGUCGCCGCCGAGGGCCGCGGAUGGUCCACUUUUGUGGCCAAGUGCGGGAGAUUGUCCCAUAUAGUGAAUAUAUGGAGAUGAUUAACCCAUCUAGUGGUCAAUCGCAGCAGACUAUCCCAUCUAGUGGCCAAUCACAGCAGAUUAUCCCAUAUAGUGGCCAAGGACAGCAGAUUAUCCCAUAUAGUGGCCAAGGACAGUCGAAUUACCCAUACAGUCCAUUUUUUGGCCCUCAGCAGCAACAUCCUCAUGAGCAAUUUUGGACAUACAACCCUGAUGGUUCUUCUCCUCCAGUAUUGCCCUUACCUCAUGCAGCUACCACUAGUCUUCAUUGUGGUCCUUCUCUUGGCUCCCAGAAUCCUCAUCAUCUAGGUUAUGAUUCAUAUGGUCACGCUCCCAUGUUUUCAGGAUACUUUCGUCCACCAGGCCCAGAUACUAGUGACCCGUAUCUAGAAUCCGCUCCUUCUGGUAAUGUUCCCAUGUUUCCAGGACAUUUUCGUUUACCACGCCCUCCCAUGUUUCAUGGAGACUUUCGUCCACCAGGCCUAGAUACUAGUGAGCCGCAUCUAGGAUCUACUCCUUCUGGUCACACUCCCAUAUUUCCAGGACAAUUUCGUCCACCAGGCCCUCCCAUAUUUCCAGAAUACUUUCGUCCACCGGGCCCAUAUACUAGUGACCCGCAUCUAGGAUCUGCUCUUUUUGAUCACGCUCCCAUGUUUCCAGGAGACUUUCGUCCACCGGGCCAUCCCAUGUUUUCAAGAUACUUUCGUCCACCAGACCCAGAUACUAGUGACCCGCAUCUAGGAUCUGCUCUUUCUGGUCACACUCCCAUGUUUCCAGGACACUUUCGUCCACCAGGCUCUCCCAUGUUUCUAAGACACUUUCGUCCACCAGGCUCUCCCAUGUUUCCAGGACACUUUCGUCCACCAGACUCUCCCAUGUUUCCAGGAUACUUUCGUCCACCAGGCUCAGAUACUAGUGAGCAGCAUCUAGGAAUUACUCCUUUUGGUCACACUCCCAUGUUUCCAGAACACUUUCGUCCACCAAACCCUUUCAUGUUUCCAGAAUGCUUUCGUCCACCAGACCUGGAUACUAGUGAGCAGCAUCUAGGAUCUACUCCUUCUGGUCACGCUCACAUGUUUCCAGAACACUUUCGUCCACCAGGCCCUUUCAUGUUUCCGAGAUACUUUCGUCCACCAGGCCCAGAUACUAUUGAGCAGCAUCUAGGAUCUGCUCCUUCUGGUCACGCUCCCAUGUUUCCAGGACACUUUCGUCCACCAGGUCCUCCCAUGUUUCAAAGAUACUUUCGUCCACUCGGCCCAGAUGAUAGUGAGCAGCAUCUGGGGUCUGCUCCUUCUGGUCAUGCUCCCAUGUUUCCAGGACACUUUCGUCCACCAGGCCCUUCCAUGUUUCCAGGACACUUUCGUCCACUAGGCCCUCCCAUGUUGCGAGGAUACUUUCGUCCACCAAACCCUCCCAUGUUUCCAGGAUACUUUCGUCCAACAGGCCCAGAUACUAGUGAGCAGCAUCUUGGAUCUGCUCCUUCUGGUCAUGCUCCCUUGUUUCCAAGAUACUUUCGUCCACCAGACUCUCCUAUGUUUCCAGGAUUCAUUCGUCCACCAGGCCCAGAUACUAGUGAGCAGCAUCUAGGAACUCCCAUGUUUCCAGGAGACUUUCGUCCACCAGACCCAGAUACUAGUGAGCAGCAGCAUCUAGGAUCUACUCCUUCUGAUCACGCUACCAUGUUUCCAGAAGACUUUUUUCCACCAAACCUAGAUAUUAGUGAGCAGCAUCUAGGAUCUACUCCUUCUGAUCACUCUACCAUGUUUCCAGAAGACUUUCUUCCACCAAACCUAGAUAUUAUUGAGCAGCAUCUAGGAUCUACUCCUUCUGAUCACACUACCAUGUUUCCAGAAGACUUUCUUCCACCAAACCUAGAUAUUAUUGAGCAGCAUCUAGGAUCUACUCCUUCUGAUCAUGCUACCAUGUUUCCAGAAGACUUUCUUCCACCAAACCUAGAUAUUAUUGAGCAGCAUCUAGGAUCUACUCUUUCCGGUCACGCUCCCGUGUCUCCAGGAGACUCUCAUCCACCAAGCCCAGACACUAAUGACCAACAGUGAAGCACAGAUACUUCUAAAAUAGUGAAGUACACGACACCGAUACGUCUACCAUACUUCAGGAACAUUUUUCAUCCAGCAACUUGAAUAUAUGCAUUCCUCAGCCAGAUGGAUCGUGCUCAAGUGAUAUGUUGGAGAGACUCAAGGCCAAGGGCGAUUGGAUGAGAAGGUUUAGAGGAUGAUUGAUCAUUUGUUAGAUAUAUUGUUUUUCCUAGAAACAUUACAUGGUCUUGGUGAUCUUAAGGUGUACUAAUUUGAUUGAUUCAUAUUUCUUUGACACAUAUUAAUCCUUUUGUGAGAAUGGAUGAAAAGUAAAAUAGCUUAAAAUAAAAUGAUAGGAUAAGACAUUGGAAAGUUUUUGAAUUGGUGUCAUUGAUAUGAGUGUGUUGUCUUUCUUAUAGG